CCUGCCUCAGCCUCCUGAGUGCUAGGAUUACAGGUGUGUGCCACUAUGCCCAGCUGGAAUUUUUUUAUUUGUUUGUUUGUUUUUAGGUUUCUUGAGAUAGGCUAUUGCUUUAGCUUUGUCUGUCCUUGAACUGAAUAUGGAACCCAGGCUAACCUGGAACUCAUGGUGAUUCUCCUGCCUCAGCCUCCCAGGUACUAGGAUGACGGGUGUGCCCUAACAUACCCAGUAGCCCUACUGGUAUGAAGGACAGACUUGCUGAAAGGGUCUCACUGGGUAAAAUUGGGAUUGGACAGGUCUGCAUCCUGUUGGAGGCUCUGCAGGAGAAUCCACCCGACUCUUUCUACUCUAUGCACUAUCACAUUCCUCCACUCCCCUACCCAAGAUGAUCAGCAUCCGGAAGCAGCCUUAAUGUGCUGUCACCUCUACGAUGAUUCUGCUCUUCCCCCUUUCAUCCUGAAGGAGCCUUAGGAUGACACAGCCCCUACUGAAACAGGCGAGGGGAACUGCCCUCUGCUGAGGUCAGCUAGGGGCUGGCUGGUGUAGCUCAGUGGUCCAGGGCUUGCCUAUACACUACACCCAGGCCCCAGGAUUCAUUCCCGGUGGGACACACACACACCCUUAUUAUCAACUUUAAUUCCACCUGCAGCUUUAACACCACCACAGGCUCCCAGGGCAGGGCACUGCCGUACCUUCACCUCUGCCUUAUCAAUGGAAGACACGACAAAGCCACACAUUCCACUCAAGGGAUGCAGAGAGACCAUUUGACAAAACCCAACACUGGGCAAAUGCCACCACCUGGUAACAGGCACCCGUGACAAGCCCACAGCCAACAUCAGAUGGCCAAAGCCGAUGUUUCCCCUCUAAACUGAAGAUAAGACAGGGUGCUCACGCCUGACACUUCUGCUCAACCUCAUCCUGCAUUUCCUGUUACAGGCAAGACAAAGAAAUAAAAGGAAUUCCGGUGGGAAGGAGGAAGACUACCUUUAGCUGUAAGUGACUGCAUUAUUACAUGCAGAAUACCCCAAGGAAUCCACUGAAAGUUAAAACUAAGAACUUUAGCAGGCUGGCAGGGUACAAGAUCAACAUUCAAUAAUUAAUAUAUCUCUAUAUGCCAUGAACACAUAACCUAAAAUGAAUUUAAGACAAUAAUUGUUUUACAUUACUGAGGUUUGAACUUGUGACUUCGUGCUUGCCAGGAGGGUGCUUGUGCCACUGAGCUAAAUUCCCAGCCUUUUAAGACAAUAAUUGCAUAUACGUUACUAUUAAAAAGAACACCAAAGAAUAAAUUUAACAACAGUAAAUACUUACAACUCUAAAAACUAUAAAAUGUUGAAAGAAAUAAAAAAUCUAAAUAAUCAGAAAGAAAACCAUAUGCUAGGUUUCAUGGUGCACAACUGUAAACUGAGUUAUUCAGAAGGCUGAGGCAGGAGGAUCACAAGUUCAAGGCCAGUUUAUGGACUCAGCAAGACUCUAUCUCAAAAAAUUCAGGAAGAGGUGGAGAUGUAGCUAAGUGUAAAGGCCCUGGGUUAAAAUCCUAUCGCACACAUACACCUCACUUCCGUGUCCAUAGAUCAGAAGAGGUGCUAGGUGGGAUAAAAAAAAUACAGUGAAUGUUUAAGUCUAAAACCUUAUUACAGUAGCAGAUUGUGCUCAACCCCCUCGGUUUGGGCACACAUAUUGCAAUGUUCUUGCCCAUCUCUGAAGCAAUUAUGCAAAUCCUCUUUCACAAGCGCUUUAUAGUGCUGUUGUGGCUACCUGGGUGUUUUCCAUGGAUUCAGAACGUUUCCCUCUCACGAUCAUUUUAACUUUCAGGAAGAGCCAGAGGUUGAUCGGUGGCAGAUCCAAACGGGUGGGUGAGGACCGCUGCCGUGUUUUCACAAGCUGCCUUUCUAUUAGAUGGCACUUGGCAGCAACAUUCACUGUAUUUUUGAUCACAUGUUAGAAAGACGGAAAAAGCGUUUCCAGACUGCUUCAGAAGUUGGAAAGAACGGUGGAGUUAAGUGUGUUCAAAAUGUGGAGGGAUUAAGGAUUAUGUCUUUUACUUAAGAUUUUUUUAGAAAUUUAAACAUUCAUUGUGUACUUGGAUCACAGUGGGUAAACGUGAAGACCGCAAUACUCCAAUACCUCCAGAUCCUGGUAUUUACAUGAGAUCUGAGGACCAGGCAGGCAGCUCGGGGAGGUCUGGGACGGCCACAGACCUUACUUCCCGUCUGACCCUGCUGGCCGCCUUCCCAGCUGUGACCGCGUCCCGCACCAGGUCUGUGACUCUCGCAGGAAUCCGGGGCUGCAGGCGCAGGGCGGCUUUCCCUUCCACGGAAAUCCGGCUUCGCAGUUUUGUGACCGGCAAGUCGCGACGCUAGAUGGCAGUGUCACACCGGUCUCCCGGUGCGGCUGCUCCCCGGAGGGCAGGCUCCGGACGGCUCCGGCGCCGGGUGGGGUCGCGGGUGUCUGGGGAGCUCACGAUUGCUUAGACGCUCUGGAUGAAGCGCUGACCGGCCAGGCGUGCCAGGGUCACUGCUGGAGCUGCGCACAGCGCUCCGCUCUGCCGUCCUCUCCUGCUGAGCGCUGGGACUUCUGGAGGAGGAGGAGUGGACCGGGCGGCUUAGGCUCCACUUCCGAUUCCAUGGAGCAUUGCGAAGGACCAGGACAGGCUGCGUCCACCUGUCGUGCUGCUCCUCGCAGGCUGAGACAGGGACCUGUACAGAGGACCCUGAGGAUGCACUGGACACCUCAAGACGCCCACGGCCGCGACGGGGCUCAUUGUUCAGGAGGACGGUCUGUGUGCAGGUGGUGACACGGGGUUUUUCAAAUGAUCGAGAAACUGUUCCUUGGUCCUUUUUUGUUAAUAUGCACAGGAAAACAUAAAGCAGACACAUACUUACAAACAACCGGUAUUCUGUGUUUAUUACCGUGGAGUGGGGAAAGCGGUUCAUACUCGAUUAACAAUGAACGAAUGACCAUGAGGAAACAGUAACGCAGGAGAAACAGAAAUAAACGCGAAAUCAAAAGGAGCUGCUUUUCCCGCAAGUAAUCAACUUUAAGAUACAGAGCAUUCUGAAGCAAGCACUCGGCCAUAAACACUUUCGUUUCAGCUGGUUUGUGGCAAUACUCGACGGGUUGGCCACCUCCGAUCUCAGAACCUGUCCCUGGUGUAAUCAGGGCUGGCCAGUCCACAAGUAUGACCAAAAUUCCAGGCAGCUGAGAGGGGCAGUGCUUUUGUUAGAUUUUCCUGCAUUUCUGGGUGAAACAGCAGGGCUCUCUGGCCAUCCCAUUGCUUUCCUGCCCUCCCAACGGCCAACCGGCUGGUCUGCUGCUAUUGUACAUCAGAGUAGGUGUCCCAGGCAGGAUCACAGCCACAGUUGCAGAGGUACAGUGCUCACCGCCACUGAGGCCAUUACUGAGUCCAAAACAGACUCAACAGGAGGAAGCCAUGGCAGAGGCAUGGUGCCACAGCUGCAUUACAGAUGAGGAAACUGAGUCCUGUAUGGGAUGAAGUAGCAAACAGUGGCUGAAGACCGUGCCGAACCAAGCAUUCUAUCAGACUGACCUGUAAUCAGUGGGCAUUCAUGGAAGAGCAGAAUCCGGAUCUGAGGACAGUAAGUAACAACAGCCUCCACAGCAUCAUCAGUCAAGUGAACGCAGUGUCCCAUGUGAAUCUCCUAAUUAUGGAAAGAAAAAAAGAAAGGAAGAAAACCGAUCAACAAUGACAGUGUACAGAUGUGUGAAGGUCACACUGAUACACAACAGGCAAGCAUUUACUAGUGAAAAAAAACCAAAACAAAUGUACAUUGGAUUAACUACUGUUAUUAUCUUAGUAUUUUAUUAUGAAGUUUUGUUUUAUUUUUUCAUAAAACCAAACCAAACCAAAAACUAUGUAGAAAGUAACAAUGUAAGUCUGAAGAAAUGAAGAUACCUCUUUGUCAGAGUGGAAAGAACUCUCCAACAUGUUAAGAGCUUGUGGGAAAUAGUACUGCUGUAUCUGAUAGAGCUGAACAUGUGGUAUACAUCCAGCUAUUUCACUCCCAGCUACUUAGCCAAGAAACAUGAAAAUGUAUCUAAACAAAGACAUGGGUGCAAAAUGUCCACAGCGAUAUUUAUAAAAGUCCAAAGCUGAGAGACCCAAAUGCCCAUUACACGAGAAAAGUAUAAACAAAUUAUGGCAGUUACAUUACAGAAUCCACUCAGCAACAAAAAGGGGCCUGGCAUCCCCAAAGCAGCAACGUGCAUGAAUCUCAGAGACACCACACUGAGCUGAAUGAAAGAGGUAGCGAGAAAGAAAGGGAGACCAGGGACCAUGCAGUACACCCAUCUGCGCUGGGACAGAAGGCUGGUGUACACUGAUCCAAGCCUUUCUACAGGGCGGGACAACAUGGCUAUACAGAGAAUGAGAGUGGUGAGAGAGAGGCUCAGCUGAUGCAAAAGGAAUACCAGCCAGACAUGAGCUUCUGAUCAGCGUGCGCACAGAGAGCAACCUGCACAAUCAGUGUACAUCAGGAGCCUCCUCGAAUAUGUGAGAAGCUAAAACUUCUGGGAAGUCAGAUUUUCACCCAAAUUUUAAUGUGAUUUUGUCUUUUCAGUUUAUGAAUUUUUAUUUACUUUGGGAAUAAAGAAGUUGAGCCAAAAAGUUGACCGUGGAAUACCUGAUUGAUGAGACAUUGGUCAGCUAGGUUUAAGAAAUAAUUUCUGAGAAUGACAUAAAAUUUAGUUAUCACUACUACUAAAUAUGUAAAAGUUACCUCUAAUUUCUUGGCACAGGGUCCACUAACGAGGGCAACCACACCACUGUCUGACACCUACACAAUGAGAAAAAGAAACAGCCAGGAGUAAACAGCUGAAGGAGGCAGAGGUUCCUGAAAUUUAUCAAUUGUUUAGAUUCACACUGCCUUCUGUCGAGCAAACUUUGAGUGUUCCUUAUACAUACUUCCCAUCCAUGAUAUUUAAAAUAAGGGGGACAUCCAAAUUAAAUCACAAUUACUUAGCUACCCAAAUGUGAAAUGGCCAACCCCUUCCACAACAGAAAGAAUGAAUGAUUCCUGACUGGUCACAAAGUACUGGGGUCACACGUGGGGUCAUGUGAUCUUGACAUUUUAGGCACACUGAUUACCUGUGUAGCUGAAAAGUCCACACACUUCAAAAGUGAGCAGUUCUCUCCUAAUGCACACAGAGACACAUCGGUAAUACUGAGGCAGCCACCUAAGUCAAUGAUCUUGAGCAGCCGGCAGUUGAGCGCGAGAGCGAGGACUCCUUCAUCAGUGAGGCUGUGACACCUUUUCAGAGAAGCUUCUUGCAGAUAAGAACAAGAUGAAGCCACAGCUUUUAUUCCUGGGGGAACACAGAUCUUGGCUGCCUGGAUACACACGUGUGCGCUACGAAGUUAGCGUCCCCAAAUAGUCUCCUGAUAGAACUUCUGCCGGGAAGCAUGGCAGAGCCAAUGGUACCCCUUCCACAGGACCAGACACAACUGUGCCCACAAGGCCUGUGAGGUGAGGACGGGGGCCAAUUUUACAAGGAGUAUGUUGGCACUUUGGGGAAUGAGCAGAGGCUCCUGACAUCUGAACUCACUUUGUAGCCCAGGAUGGCUCAAACUUAUGAUCUUCCUGCCUCAGCCUCCCAAGUGCUGAGAUUACAGGUGUGCACUACUGUUGUGAUCUAACCAAAACACCGCCAUACUGUUCUGUAUGCGUCAUCACCCUGUUUGCUGUGCUAACCUUUGGGAGGGACAAUUGUUCCCAAAAACAGAUGGCCACAAGCUACCCACAUUCUGUCUUAAUCCUUGGCCCCAUAACGAAAAACAGAUGUUCCUGGAAUUAGCUGACCACAGGCUGCAAGUUCCUGUAAAGGAGGACUUGCUGACCACCAACUGUGGAACUUCCUCUAAAAAUCUGUCCUCAAGCAAAAAGUGGACAAAGGUCUUCCUCAACCUUACUCCUCUCUCACCCCUUACUUUACUGUUUUUUCCUUUAUAAGCCUGACAAAAAUCUAACCUAGUUACACAGCUUUGCAAAUUCCAACUGCACUGUGUCGCUGGGUAUCAGCUUAAAUAAAGUGUUCCUUUUUCUUUUAAAAAAUGUUUUGCCCUGUUUUUGGACAACACCUUGGGGUCUCAUUUUUGGGGUACAACAGCUACCACACCUGGUGUAGCAUUUUUAUAAGAUCUAUAGGUAGGAGUUACAAAAGUGACAUAGCUUGGCUGUCUUUGACUAGUUAGCAAGGUGAGAUCAUCAGUUGUAAGGCUAGGUUAGUAAUUACAGAGUCUGCUAUUGUGAGGGCAUUCAUAACCCCACUGUUUGCUUUCUUUUCUUUGCCCCUUUCCCUUUAAAACUCCCCAAAUCCUAGUCUUGAAAACUUCAUUUACUUUAUAGCUUUGGUGCUUAGCUAGCAGUUAGACUUUAAACAGUUAGUGAACUUCGGCAAAAUCUCUAAAAGGCCUCUUCCUCUCCCUUAACUGGCCAUUGAAAACUACAGAAAGAGAAACAAAAGGUUUCAUCUCAAGGUGACCAAACUGCCCAGUUCCCACACUCUGUGACAAUUAACCAGAUGUGUAAGGAGGUCUUGCAACAUUCCAAAGCAA